rnacentral:ncRNA from 2 species
CCGCUCUGGAAAGAAGUUCCGUUCCGCGGAACUCGCCCACGGUGAAAGCGACCAUGAGUCGCGAAUCUCUCAGGCGCCGAUGACAGAGGGGGA